UGCCAACGGCUUUAUAUAUUUUUUAUUAAAAUAACAACAACAACUUUACUCUUUAGUUUGAUUCAGUCAUGUACUGCGCAAGUGCACAUUCAAGUAUUUAACAAAUGUCUGGUGUUUAAAUACUCGUGGGAAUUCCUUUGGGAAAUAAGCUUCAAAUAUAUCAUGUUGCCUAACUAAAAUCCUCUAUCAUGCCAUAAAUCCUCUAUUAAAGUAUCAAGGUUAAUACAUAAGCUCAAGUCUUAAACAGUCCUCCGAUCCUCUGU